CAUGCUGUGAGCUCGAUGAGUAGGGCGGGACACGUGGUAUCCUGUCUGAAUAUGGGGGGACCAUCCUCCAAGGCUAAAUACUCCUGACUGACCGAUAGUGAACCAGUACCGUGAGGGAAAGGCGAAAAGAACCCCGGCGAGGGGAGUGAAAAAGAACCUGAAACCGUGUACGUACAAGCAGUGGGAGCACGCUUAGGCGUGUGACUGCGUACCUUUUGUAUAAUGGGUCAGCGACUUAUAUUCUGUAGCAAGGUUAACCGAAUAGGGGAGCCGAAGGGAAACCGAGUCUUAACUGGGCGUUAAGUUGCAGGGUAUAGACCCGAAACCCGGUGAUCUAGCCAUGGGCAGGUUGAAGGUUGGGUAACACUAACUGGAGGACCGAACCGACUAAUGUUGAAAAAUUAGCGGAUGACUUGUGGCUGGGGGUGAAAGGCCAAUCAAACCGGGAGAUAGCUGGUUCUCCCCGAAAGCUAUUUAGGUAGCGCCUCGUGAAUUCAUCUCCGGGGGUAGAGCACUGUUUCGGCAAGGGGGUCAUCCCGACUUACCAACCCGAUGCAAACUGCGAAUACCGGAGAAUGUUAUCACGGGAGACACACGGCGGGUGCUAACGUCCGUCGUGAAGAGGGAAACAACCCAGACCGCCAGCUAAGGUCCCAAAGUCAUGGUUAAGUGGGAAACGAUGUGGGAAGGCCCAGACAGCCAGGAUGUUGGCUUAGAAGCAGCCAUCAUUUAAAGAAAGCGUAAUAGCUCACUGGUCGAGUCGGCCUGCGCGGAAGAUGUAACGGGGCUAAACCAUGCACCGAAGCUGCGGCAGCGACGCUUAUGCGUUGUUGGGUAGGGGAGCGUUCUGUAAGCCUGUGAAGGUGUGCUGUGAGGCAUGCUGGAGGUAUCAGAAGUGCGAAUGCUGACAUAAGUAACGAUAAAGCGGGUGAAAAGCCCGCUCGCCGGAAGACCAAGGGUUCCUGUCCAACGUUAAUCGGGGCAGGGUGAGUCGACCCCUAAGGCGAGGCCGAAAGGCGUAGUCGAUGGGAAACAGGUUAAUAUUCCUGUACUUGGUGUUACUGCGAAGGGGGGACGGAGAAGGCUAUGUUGGCCGGGCGACGGUUGUCCCGGUUUAAGCGUGUAGGCUGGUUUUCCAGGCAAAUCCGGAAAAUCAAGGCUGAGGCGUGAUGACGAGGCACUACGGUGCUGAAGCAACAAAUGCCCUGCUUCCAGGAAAAGCCUCUAAGCAUCAGGUAACAUCAAAUCGUACCCCAAACCGACACAGGUGGUCAGGUAGAGAAUACCAAGGCGCUUGAGAGAACUCGGGUGAAGGAACUAGGCAAAAUGGUGCCGUAACUUCGGGAGAAGG
rnacentral:rRNA from 1 species